rnacentral:rRNA from 1 species
UCUGGUUGGUCCUGCCGGAGGCUACCGCUAUUGGAGUUCGAUUAAGCCAUGCGAGUCGCGAGAAAUUAGAUUCUCGGCGUACCGCUCAGUAACACGUGGGUAACCUGCCCUAUGCUGGAUAAUAACCUCGGGAAACUGAGAAUAAUGAUCCAUAGUUCACUACGCCUGGAACGGUGAGUGGAUGAAAGCUCCGGCGGCAUAGGAUGGGCCUGCGGCGUAUCAGGUUGUAGGGGGUGUAACGUACCCUCUAGCCCUCUACGCGUACGGGUGUUGGGAGACAUAGCCCGGAGAUGGAUUCUGAGACACGAAUCCAGACCCUACGGGGUGCAGCAGGCGCGAAAACUUGGCAAUGCGAGAAAUCGUGACCAGGGAACUCCAAGUGCAUCGGGUAAGACCGGUGCUUUUCUUGACUCUAAAUAGGUCUUGGAAUAAGGGGUGGGUAAGGACGGUGCCAGCCGCCGCGGUAAUACCGGCGCCUCAAGUGGUAGUCGCUUUUAUUGGGCCUAAAACGUCCGUAGCCGGUCUGAUACAUUCGUGGGUAAAUCAACCAGCUCAACUGGUUGAAUUCUGCGAGGACGGUCAGACUUGGGACCGGGAGAGGUGUGGGGUACGCUCAGGGUAGGGGUAAAAUCCUGUCAUCCUGAGCGGACCACCUGUUGCGAAGGCGCCACACUAGAACGGAUCCGACGGUCAGGGACGAAGCCUAGGGGCACGAACCGGAUUAGAUACCCGGGUAGU